rnacentral:rRNA from 1 species
UACGUAGGGGGCUAGCGUUAUCCGGAAUUACUGGGCGUAAAGGGUGCGUAGGUGGUUUCUUAAGUCAGAGGUGAAAGGCUACGGCUCAACCGUAGUAAGCCUUUGAAACUGGGAAACUUGAGUGCAGGAGAGGAGAGUGGAAUUCCUAGUGUAGCGGUGAAAUGCGUAGAUAUUAGGAGGAACACCAGUUGCGAAGGCGGCUCUCUGGACUGUAACUGACACUGAGGCACGAAAGCGUGGGGGGCAAACAGGAUUAGAUACCCGUGUAGUCCCUGAGCGGG